GCUUUCCAGUAUUGCUAGUUUCAAUUACUAUAAAUGGCUGAGCAAGCGCUUGUGAAAGCACAUCUUCAAGAUGAUGUCGUUUACGAUAAUUCUUGGGGUGGUUGCUGGGACGGCAGUGGCCAUGCCGACGAAAGGGGUAGAGUGUUUGAGAGAGGGCAGGUACCCAACUCCAAAUACAUGUGAUGGUUUUUUCGACUGCAUACCUGAUGGUACUGGGGGCUAUGAAGUGUCUUUUGAUGACUGUAAUGGAUUUGUCUACAAUACCACCUCCAGGACGUGCAACGGUGAAAUGCAAUGUCGCUCCCGAAGUGAGCGCAGUGUUACUACAGCAUAUCCCAAGUACUCCUACUUGUGUGAAGGUCAGCCUGAUGGCUUCGUGUGUGCUGACUGCAGGACCAUGGUCAUGUGUGUAAAAGGGCAGGCCUUUGUCCGCCAGUGCACCAGCACAAGAUCCUGCAGUAUAAGACUACUAUGGAGGUGCAGUAUGCACCAGGGCUCAGCUGAAUGUACCUGCCAGAGUGGAGACGCGUUUGUCCGUGAUCUCUAUGACCCACAGAAGUUCUUUAGCUGCUCCUCCACUGGAUCCAGCCCUGAGGAUCACGUGUGCCCUGAUGGUAUGGUGUUGAUGAGACCCUUAAUCAGUGUCGCAACCAAGCCAGCCUUCCAGCUUGUGAACGGCUGGUGUCUUGCAAAGCUCGAAGACUGCACUGAAUAUUACUCUUGCAUCUCGCUUCAACAUGGGUGGCUGCAGAGACUGUUCAUGUGCCCCAGUGGAACGCUGUUCAACGAGGUAAACAGGAGCUUGUGAAGAUCCUUGCUCACGGACAAUGGUGUGCUAUGAGGAAGGCAGGUUCCCAGAUCCCCUCGACCGCCGCAGCUACUAUGAAUGCCUGAUUAUUGGUGGCCUAAUGAAGCGUGCCCGCUACCAGUGCCCCCAUGGUUAUGUGUGGAAAGCUGAUGAUGCUGGUGAGGGGGAGCAUGUGUGGAAAGACAUGAAAUGAAUUUGCAUAUGACUACUUCACCGCUGUAGCAUUCCCAGGCAUGUGUCCUGACGAGACUACAGAUGUUGAUGAAUGUGCCGUGGCCAACGGCGGCUGUUCUGCAAUGGCUAGCUGCACGAAUACUGACGGCAGCAGCCGAGACUGUACUUGUGCAUCAGGUUACACUGGGGAUGGCUUUACUUGCUCUGAUAUCGAUGAGUGCCUUGUUAACAAUGGAGGCUGUGAUGCAAAUGCAGGGUGUCAAAACACAGCUGGUUCAAGAACCUGCACAUGUCUCCCAGGCUUCUCUGGGAAUGGUGUUACUUGCUCUGAUGUGGACGAGUGUUUGGUUGCCAACGGUGGUUGUUGGAUGCAAAUGCCCUGUGUAGCAAUACUCCAGGCAGCCGUGACUGCACCUGCACAUCAGGGUUCACUGGGAAUGGCCUAGUUUGCACAGACGUGGACGAGUGUCUGGUAGCUAAUGGAGGGUGCCAUGCAAAUGCAGACUGUACAAUGAUGUUGGUGGCAGAAACUUGCACCUGUCAUCCUGGUUACACGGUGAUGGACUUCAAUGUACUGAUGUGGACGAGUGCUUGGUUGCCAACGGUGGUUGUGAUGCAAAUGCCCUGUGUAGCAAUACUCCAGGCAGCCGUGACUGCACCUGCACAUCAGGGUUCACUGGGAAUGGCCUAGCUUGCACAGAUGUGGACGAGUGUCUGGUGGCUAAUGGUGGGUGCCAUGCUAAUGCUCAGUGCACCAAUACUGCUGGUAGCAGAACCUGCUCUUGCCUUGCUGGCUAUACUGGUGAUGGACAAGUGUGCACACUCCUCCAGGUAGGUGCCUAGUUCUGCACUCCAACCUUACUACUUGAAUGUCUAGUGUCCUGAAGGAUUCUACCGAAUUAAAAGUGAUAAAUAAUACUUGCUUACUACUCUCAGUGUCCUGUGGCUUUGCUGGUCCAAGGUCAAGACUGUGCUCCAGACUAUGACCUUGAUGGCUUCCAGACACUGAACUGAGCUGUUCGAGCAAAUACUGCCGUAAGGAUAACUGUGUCAACCGACCAAAUUCUGGGCAAGAGGAUGCCGAUGGUGACGGGAUUGGUGAUGCUUGUGAUACUGAUGCUGAUGGAGAUGGACUUCUCGAUACUUCGGAUAACUGUCCCACUAAUAGCCAACCCUGGGCAACAAGAUGGAGACUCGGAUACACAUGGAGAUGUAUGUGACAACGCCUGUAGUCUCCAAACCCCAGCCAGAAUGAUGUGAUGGGAUGGUACAGGCGACAAAUGCGACGAUGAUAUUGACAAUGAUGGCUUGCUAAAUACUGCUGACAACUGUCCAAAGACUGCAAAUGGCAACCAAGCUGAUGGUGAUGGAGAUGGCUUUGGAGACUUGUGUGACAAUUGCCCCCAGCAUACCAAUCCUGGGCAAGAAGAUGCAGAUGAAGAUCUACUAGGGGAUGCAUGUGAUGAUAACAUCGACUCUGACAGUGAUGGUGUGGAGGACAGUGUGGACAAUUGUCCAAAUGUAGCCAUUGGUGACCAGCAGGACGUAGAUGGUGAUGGGUUAGGUGAUGCCUGUGAUUCAGACAGUGACAACGAUGGUAUUGAUGAUACAACUGACAACUGCUUGCUAAUCCCAAAUUCGGACCAGAAGGAUACCGACGGGAAUGGCCGUGGCGAUGCUUGCACCUCUGACUUUGAUGGUGACAAAAUUGUAGACUCGGAUGAUAACUGCAUUGCCAACCCAAAUGUGCAUGCCACCGAUUUCAGGCAACUCCAAAUGGUGGCACUAGACCCACAAACGGCGUCUACUCCUCCAGUAUGGAUUGUCUACGACAAUGGUGCAGAAAUUCACCAGACGUUGAACUCGGACCCAGCUAUAGCAGUGGGUGACCAUACUCUUGUGGAUGUCGACUUUGAAGGGACCUUCUUCAUAGAGGACACCAGUGAUGAUGACUUUGUUGGCUUUAUCUUCAGCUACCAAAGCAAUUCCAAGUUCUAUGUCAUGAUGUGGAAGAAGGGACCACAAAGCUGGUUUGGCCAAGCAGAGAGAGGAGUUACUCUGAAGCUAAUUGACUCUACUACAGGCCCUGGCACAGCACUUCGGGAUGCUUUGUGGCUCACUGGCUCUACAACAAACCAGGCAACCUUGCUCUGGCAUGAUAGCAGCAUUGGAUGGACCCCUAAAGUUGCCUACCGCUGGCUGCUUCACCACCGGCCUGAUAUUGGUACCAUGAGGUUCUACUGUACCAGGGUAACAACCAAGUCAUUGACUCUGGAAACAUAUAUGACAGCACCUAAAAGGAGGCAGGCUAGGUCUCUUUGCUUCUCCCAGAAGCAAAUUAUAUGGUCAAUGUGAAGUAUUCUUGUUCAGAUGAUGUACCCCAAGACAUGUUUAAUGACCUGCCCCACUAACCUACAGACGCAAGU